rnacentral:rRNA from 1 species
GAUGAACGCUGGCGGCGUGCCUAAUACAUGCAAGUCGAGCGAACGGACGAGAAUCUUGCUUCUCUGAUGUUAGCGGCGGACGGGUGAGUAACACGUGGAUCACCUACCUAUAAGACUGGGAUAACUUCGGGAAACCGGAGCUAAUACCGGAUAAUAUUUUGAACCGCAUGGUUCAAAAGUGAAUGACGGUCUUGCUGUCACUUAUAGAUGGAUCCGCGCUGCAUUAGCUAGUUGGUAAGGUAACGGCUUACCAAGGCAACGAUGCGUAGCCGACCUGAUAGGGUGAUAGGCGACACGAGAGCGGAAACAGGGACAAGAGGACUGAGGGAGGCCGCAGAAGGGUAUCGGACGCAAUGGGCGAAAGCAUGACGGAGCGACGGCGAGUGAGAGAUGGAGGUGUUCGGAUCGUAAAAAUGUGUUAUGAGGGAAGAACAGAUGUGGAAGGAAAUGUGCAGAGAGUGACGGUACUUAAUAAGAAAGCCACGGCUAACUACGUG